GACGAACGCUGGCGGCGUGCUUAACACAUGCAAGUCGAACGGAAAGGCCUUCAGCUUGCUGGGGGUACUCGAGUGGCGAACGAGUGAGUAACACGUGGGUGAUCUGCCCUGCACUUCGGGAUAAGCCUGGGAAACUGGGUCUAAUACCGGAUAGGACCCUCCUUUAGUGUGGGGGUGGAAAGUUUUUCGGUGCAGGAUGAGCCCGCGGCCUAUCAGCUUGUUGGUGGGUAAUGGCCUACCAAGGCGUCGACGGGUAGCCGGCCUGAGAGGGUGGACGGCCACAUUGGGACUGAGAUACGGCCCAG
rnacentral:rRNA from 1 species